UACAGAGGUCCCAAGCGUUGUUCGGAUUCAUUGGGCGUAAAGGGUGCGUAGGCGGCGCGGUAAGUCGGGUGUGAAAUCUCGGGGCUUAACUCCGAAACUGCAUUCGAUACUGCCGUGCUUGAGGACUGGAGAGGAGACUGGAAUUUACGGUGUAGCGGUGAAAUGCGUAGAGAUCGGGGGGAACACCCGUGGCGAAGGCGGCCAGCUGGGCCGGUCCUGACGCUGAGGCGCGAAGGCGUGGGGAGCGAACGGG
rnacentral:rRNA from 1 species